CGCGGUGCCGCAGGUCCCCGGGACGGGGUCAGGUCGGGUUAGGUUAGGUUUUGUCUGUCCCGGGAAACGGGAUCGGGGAUAACGGCCGUCGGACGGGGGAAUAAACGAUUUCGCGUCGGCAAACAUGUCGGACAUUUUCAACAGUGCAUGCAGGUGCAACGGUCGCGGGCAUUUUCGCGGACGCCGUCGACGAAAACGUAUUAAUUCCGCUCGUCCGGCCGCGCGUAAAAUACCAUCGCUUUUAGCGUUACUAUUAUUACGUUGCGCGUUACACUCGCCCAAUAGUGUAUAAAUAUACAGUGUGUACCGCGAGUACGAGACCGCCACCGCCGUCUUCCUGAUCGACGCCGUUGCCAAAUCGGUUACGUCGCCGGCGCGCGCGUAUCGAGAGACCGCUUACGAUAAAAUUAUACUUGCGUGUCCCGUGCGGACGUGCGGUUUUUAUAACGCCGUCGCGGCCGCCCGGCGCGUAUUUAUGGGGGAGGGGGGGGCGGUGGAUUUACGGCGGCGAUUUCAACGUCCGUUUUUUGCGGGCGGGGAACGAAAAUUACCGAACCUACCUCCCCCUCUCCCGAAAACGCGCGGAAAGUUUGACAUUCGAUAUUUUGUUCACUCGGGUGUACGUAUACGAGCGCGGACGCGAGACGCGCGGCGACAUUCGUGCGGAAACGCUCUCUGCUCGUCGUCCCGCAUGCUAUUGCGGUUGGUCGCAGUGGCCUCGGCCGCGUCUCUUUUAGCUACGGAAAACCGACGAAACCGCGACCAAGUUUAGGACCCACGAAAAAUCGCAAACGACCCACCGUAUAAUAAUAUGCCGAGUAUUCCGGGGUUUUUUUUUUCUUCUCGUUCUCCUACGCGUAAAACGAGAUCGCCGUGCUCUCGGCACUCGGGCGCGCAAGCAUCCCGGACACGAGGCCCAAACGUCGAGGUGGACGGCGGAUCUCGGA